rnacentral:tRNA from 3 species
CGCGGCGUAGAGCAGUGGUAGCUCGCCGGGCUCAUUCCCCGGAGGUCGCAGGUUCGACCCCUGCCGCCGCAACAA